rnacentral:rRNA from 1 species
AUUGAAUGCUGGCGGCAUGCAUUACACAUGCAUGUCGCACGGUAACAGGUCUCCGGAGGCUGACGCGUGGCGAACGGGUGUUUAAUACAUCGGAACGUGCCUAGUAGUGGGGGAUAACUACUCGAAAGAGUGGCUACUACCGCAUGAUUUCUACGGAUUAAAGCAGGGGAUCGCCAGGCCCUGUGCUACUUGAGCGGCGGAUGGCAGAUUAGGUAAUUGGUGGGAUAAAAGCUUACCAAGCCGACGAUCUGUAGCUGGUCUGAGAGGAGGGUCAGCCACACUGGGAGUGGGACACGGCCCUGACUCGUACGGGAGGCAGCAGUGGGGAAUUUUGGACAAUGGGCGCAAGCCUGUUCCAGCAAUGCCGCGUGCAGGAUGAAGGCCUUCGGGUUGUAAACUGCUUUUGUACGGAACGAAAAGCCCCGGGUUAAUACCCUGGGGUCAUGACGGUACCGUAAGAAUAAGCACCGGCUAACUACGUGCCAGCCGCCGCAGUAA